rnacentral:rRNA from 1 species
GACGAACGCUGGCGGCGUGCUUAACACAUGCAAGUCGAGCGGUAAGGCCCUUUCGGGGGUACACGAGCGGCGAACGGGUGAGUAACACGUGGGUGACCUGCCCUCAGCCCUGGGAUAAGCCUGGGAAACCGGGUCUAAUACCGGAUAUGACUCCAUGACGCAUGUUGUGGGGUGGAAAGCCUUGUGCGGCUGAGGAUGGGCCCGCGGCCUAUCAGCUUGUUGGUGGGGUGANGGCCUACCAAGGCGACGACGGGUAGCCGGCCUGAGAGGGCGACCGGCCACACUGGGACUGAGACACGGCCCAGACUCCUACGGGAGGCAGCAGUGGGGAAUCUUGCGCAAUGGGCGAAAGCCUGACGCAGCGACGCCGCGUGAGGGAUGACGGCCUCGG